rnacentral:rRNA from 1 species
CGGGACGGGUGAGUAACGCGUGGAUAACCUGCCUCACACUGGGGGUAACGAGUUAGAAAUGACUGCUAAUACCGCAUAAGCGCACAGUACCGCAUGGUACAGUGUGAAAAACUCCGGUGGUGUGAGAUGGAUCCGCGCCUGAUUAGCCAGUUGGCGGGGUAACGGCCCACCAAAGCGACGAUCAGUAGCCGACCUGAGAGGGUGACCGGCCACAUUGGGACUGAGACACGGCCCAA